rnacentral:rRNA from 1 species
AAACUUAAAUGAAUUGACGGGGGCCCGCACAAGCAGUGGAGUAUGUGGUUUAAUUCGAAGCAACGCGAAAAACCUUACCAGGUCUUGACAUCCAACGACCGCCUAAGAGAUUAGGCUUUCCUUCGGGACGUUGAGACAGGUGGUGCAUGGUUGUCGUCAGCUCGUGUCGUGAGAUGUUGGGUUAAGUCCCGCAACGAGCGCAACCCUUAUUACUAGUUACUACGCAAGAGGACUCUAGUGAGACUGCCGUUGACAAAACGGAGGAAGGUGGGGAUGACGUCAAAUCAUCAUGCCCUUUAUGACCUGGGCUACACACGUACUACAAUGGCUAUUAACAGAGAGAAGCGAGACCGCAAGGUGGAGCAAACCUCAGAAAAAUAGUCUCAGUUCGGAUUGGGGGCUGCAACCCGCCCCCAUGAAGCCGGAAUUGCUAGUAAUCGCGGAUCAGCAUGCCGCGGUGAAUACGUUCCCGGGCCUUGUACACACCGCCCGUCACACCAUGAGAGCCGGGGGGACCCGAAGUCGGUAGUCUAACCGCAAGGAAGACGCCGCCGAAGGUAAAACUGGUGAUUGGGGUGAAGUCGUAACAAGGUAGCCGUAUCGGAAGGUGCGGCUGGAUCACCUCCUUUAUG